rnacentral:snRNA from 1 species
AGUCAAAGAAACACAUUGUUUGUGG